rnacentral:rRNA from 1 species
UACGUAGGGUGCAAGCGUUGUCCGGAAUUAUUGGGCGUAAAGAGCUCGUAGGCGGUCUGUCGCGUCGGCUGUGAAAACCCGAGGCUCAACCUCGGGCCUGCAGUCGAUACGGGCAAACUAGAGUACUGCAGGGGAGACUGGAAUUCCUGGUGUAGCGGUGAAAUGCGCAGAUAUCAGGAGGAACACCGGUGGCGAAGGCGGGUCUCUGGGCAGUAGCUGACACUGAGGCGCGACAGCGUGGGGAGCAAACAGG